UAACGAAUCUUCCGCAAUGGGCGAAAGCCUGACGGAGCAAUGCCGCGUGUGGGAUGAAGCAUCUAUGGUGUGUAAACCACUGUCAGGGGGCGGAAACAAUGAUUGCCCCCAGAGGAAGUGGCGACUAACUCUGUGCCAGCAGUCGCGGUAAUACAGAGGCCACAAGCGUUAAUCGGAAUCACUGGGCUUAAAGGGUGCGUAGGCGGAUUUGCAAGCGUCUUGUGAAAGCCCCCGGCUCAACCGGGGAACUGCAGGGCGAACUGCAAGUCUUGAGGCAGGUAGGGGCCGCGAGAACAGUAGGUGGAGCGGUGAAAUGCGUAGAUAUCUACUGGAAUGCCGAUGGGGAAGCCGCGCGGCUGGGCCUGACCUGACGCUGAGGCACGAAAGCGUGGGGAGCGAAAC
rnacentral:rRNA from 1 species